CUUCUCAACAGUCUCCCACGGAGUCCAUGGCCAAAUAGAAGAAUCAAGAUCAGAUGCCUGGCUGCAGCUAAGGUUACAGAAGCUUUUUAAAACAGUGGAUCUCACAUAGGGCAUAUGCCUCCACCAGUGUGAAAAUAACGUCUGUGGCUCUGCUCCUUCAGGCGACUUCUUUGUGCAUCAGGACCUCCAGCUGAGUCCGCUGUGCUCAAUUAGGAGAAAAUGCAUAUUUUAAUCCGCCCCAUGGUGUAGUAACAUUUCGCUCUGUGGCCUUGGCAAAGGAGCCAUUUAACUAUUUCUGCAGUGGUUUCACAUGCAGCACAUUAUUCUAGUGUCAGCAGCAUUUCCGUCUGUUCUAGUUUCCUUGGCAGUCCUCCCCUAGGCAUUGGGAUGUGGACAAUUAAAGCCCACUUUAUCAUUUUGGAACCAAUGAGUUCCUUCCCCUGACACAGUUCAUCACUACACACCAGCUGCUCUUACUGUUGCAACCAUCUCUGCUUCUCCUGGCAAGAUGCUGUGACCACUCUUUACCAGAAGACUGGCAAAAGGUGCUCCUACACCCCUCCCAAAACAAUGCACCAGGUCUCUGCUCUCCUCAGUAGUUAUGACCAGCUCCAGAUCAUAGAAUCAUAGAAUCAUAGAAUCCUAGGGGUUGGAAGGGACCUCGAAAGAUCAUCUAGUCCAACCCCCCUGCCAGAGCAGGGUCACCUAGAGUACAUCACACAGGAAGGCGUCCAGGCGGGUUUUGAAUGUCUCCAGCGAAGGAGACUCCACAACCUCUCUGGGCAGCCUGUUCCAGUGCUCUGUCACUCUUACAGUAAAAAAAUUUUUCCU